GGGUUGUAAACUUCUUUUGUCUGGGAAGAAAUGUACCGAUUCUUCGGUACUUGACGGGACUAUAGGAAUAAGCACCGGCUAACUCCGUGCCAGCACCCGCGGUAAUACGGAGGGUGCAAGCGUUAUCCGGAUUCACUGGGUUUAAAGGGUGCGUAGGCGGGCAGAACAGUCAGUGGUGAAAUCUCCGAGCUUAACUCGGAAACUGCCGUUGAUACUAUUUGUCUUGAAUAUUGUGGAGGUAAGCGGAAUAUGUCAUGUAGCGGUGAAAUGCAUAGAUAUGACAUGGAACACCAAUUGCGAAGGCAGCUUCUACACAACGAUUGACGCUGAGGCACGAAAGCGUGGGUAGCAAACAGGAUUAGAUACCCUGGUAGUCCACGCCCUAAACGAUGUCAACUCGGUUGUGGGAAAUCUACUUUCUCACUAGUAAGCUAACGCGUGAAGUUGACCGCCUGGGGAGUACGGCCGCAAGGUUAAAACUCAAGGAAUUGACGG
rnacentral:rRNA from 1 species